rnacentral:rRNA from 1 species
ACCACGCGACUGACGCUCAUGCACGAAAGCGUGGGUAUCGAACAGGAUUAGAUACCCUGGUAGUCCACGCGGUAAACGAUGAUAACUAGUUAUUCGGCGCGAUUGAGUGCUGAGUGACCGAGCGAAAGCGUUAAGUUAUCCACCUGGGGAGUACGCCGGCAACGGUGAAACUCAAAGGAAUUGACGGGGGCCCGCACAAGCGGAGGAACAUGUGGUUUAAUUCGAUGAUACGCGAGGAACCUUACCCGGGCUCAAACGCAUGGCGCUACACCCUGAAAGGGGUGGUUCUUCGGACGUCAUGCGAGGUGCUGCAUGGUUGUCGUCAGCUCGUGCCGUGAGGUGUCGGCUUAAGUGCCAUAACGAGCGCAACCCCCAUCUUCAGUUGCCCCCGGGUUAAGCCGGGCACUCUGGAGAGACUGCCGGCGCAAGCUGUGAGGAAGGCGGGGAUGACGUCAAAUCAGCACGGCCCUUACGUCCGGGGCGACACACGUGUGGACGGGCGGUGUGUACAGAGGGAAGGAACGUAUUGACGGCGAGAUGAUCCCGAAAACCCGUCUCAGUUCGGAUCGGAGUCUGCAACCCGACUCCGUGAAGCAGGAU